ACGCCCGAGCAGAGGGCCCUGAGGGGCUGCGGAGGCCUCCCUUCCUCCUCGCCUGGUGGGAGGAGGCAGGGCACCCACGCGUGUCCGCAGCUGAAGUAAAAAGAAAUGGUGAUGCGACAGACAGAACCACUUAAACUCCUGAAAUAUCACCACAGAGAGGGAUACAAAGAGGCUUGGGGUACUGGCACCCAUUUCCUUUUGGAGCUCAUCAAAUCUAUUGGAGGCUUCUGGAGAUCCAGUUCGGGGGCAGAAACGCAUCCCAUCUGAGCCAAGUCGGGAUUUCAGUUACAAAAUGAAAGUCAUUAGACAGAUCUAUAAGGAGACACAGAGCCUGUUCUUCCUCCUUUCUUCCACCAAGAUAAAUUACAAAUAACCAGGUAGAACUUGUGGGGUCUUUUCAGUAGGAAACCUGUGUGAUGGGUGAAAUGCAGUUAAGGAAGGAGUCAAGGCGAUGACUCAGUCCUUAACAAAAUGGAUAAUCACAGCUGGAAGACUUAGGAUCAAACACCCCUAGAAGAAAGAGUGGGAAUUAGAUUCAUAGAAUCAUAGAAUCUGUGAUAUCAUAGAAUCAUUUAUGUUGGAAAAGACCUUUAAGAUGAUCAAGUCCAACCAUUAACCUAACACAAUUAAUUUGCUUCUAGGCUUGCAAGGGACAGAAUCAGUACAGGCAAGUCCAUAAACUAGACUAAAAAUUGAUAUCAGAGGAGGCAGCUACAUUUGAGACAGAUGCAGAUAUUUGCAAGGCUUAAUUGUCUUUUCUAUGGGCUUUUUUAUGCAUGUUCACAAUAAAAAAAUCCUGAGAUGCUCAAAGAGGGAGGCAGCAAUAAUGCCGACAAGGGAGGUACAUCUAAGAAGCUAAUAAAUUUCAGAUGGAAGAAGAAUACAGGAGGAGGGGUGCACCUCCCCUCUGACAAGCAGCAGAGAACAGCAGCGUGACUGCCAGCAGCCGGGCGCUGCCUAUCUCAGUUACCCAAAUUGCUCCUGGCACCGCUGACUGCACUGACGACUCUCUCCGCUAGUGACACGGAGAGUUUUAGACAUCCAGCAUAUGUAGAGACACCUACAUUUAAGUGUCUUAAUCUGGAGCUGGUUCCCAGUCCGCUCACAUGUUUUGUGGUGCGUCACGGUGCCACAUGCCUUCGUGGAGAGAAAUGCUGCACUGUUAAUGGCAUGAGCAGGUAGACUUACUUUUAUACCUUGUAUGGUCUUUUGUGCCAAGAGUUUUUGUACUUUUAUAUAAAAAGUCCCUUCUCAACAAAUAAAAAUGCAAGGUU